GAAAGCCUCAGCUGCGCGGCGUCUGAGGGCUUCGUGCCCAAAGUGCUAUGCUUCGGCCGGCAAAAAACAGUCAACUCAGAACUGGCACGGACCGGGGGAAUCCGACUGUCUAAUUAAAACAAAGCAUUGCGAUGGCCGCUGGUCGGUGUUGACGCAAUGUGAUUUCUGCCCAGUGCUCUGAAUGUCAACGUGAAGAGAUUCAUCAAAGCGCGGGUAAACGGCGGGAGUAACUAUGACUCUCUUGGCCAUGCUUAGGAUGAGUGAUGUUCCUGCAUGUGGAGACGCAGUGAAUGUCCAGCCCUCAAACUAGAAGAACAGAAGGCAAUGAAUCUGCUUACAGUGAAUGGAAGGGUCCUAACAACAGCAAAGGACGUGAAGGACCACUGGGCAGAACUCCUUCACAAUUCAGUGGAUGGAGCGCACAUGAGAACGUGCAAAGAGGUGCCCGAAUCUCAGCAAUGGGUCUCGGAUGGCACCCGCCUUUUGAGUGGCAGGGAUUUCGUCGACUGUGCGAAGCUGCGGAUCAAUGCAAUUCCGACGCUGGCCAGGACCUCUAGGGGUCGGAACCAAGACAUUUCCUGUAGGGCAGGAUGUCGCCAAAAUGAGACGCUGGGGCACGUCCUGCAGCAGUGUGAGCGCACUCACGGUGAAAGGAUCAAGCGACACAAUGGUAUUGUCGACUACCUGUGCAAGAAGUUUAAGGUGGACAAGUGGUCGGUCGAACGGGAACCCUGUAUAAAUACGAAGGAAGGGACCCGCUUUCCGGACAUUGUGAUCCGGAAGGGUGACCGUACGGCCAUUGUCGAUGUACAGGUUGUGGGCACGAGCACCCCACUGGAAACAGCCCAUAGAAGGAAACAGAAUUAUUAUGCGAGGAACGAUGAGGUUGUAGCCUAUGCCAAAGCUGAUAGGAGUG
rnacentral:ncRNA from 1 species